rnacentral:rRNA from 1 species
GAUGAACGCUGGCGGCGUGCUUAACACAUGCAAGUCGAACGGAAAGGCUCCUGCUUGCAGGGGUACUCGAGUGGCGAACGGGUGAGUAACACGUGGGUGAUCUGCCCUGCACUUCGGGAUAAGCCUGGGAAACUGGGUCUAAUACCGGAUAGGACGAUGGUUUGGAUGCCAUUGUGGAAAGUUUUUCGGUGUGGGAUGAGCUCGCGGCCUAUCAGCUUGUUGGUGGGGUAAUGGCCUACCAAGGCGUCGACGGGUAACCGGCCUGAGAGGGUGUACGGCCACAUUGGGACUGAGAUACGGCCCAGACUCCUACGGGAGGCAGCAGUGGGGAAUAUUGCACAAUGGGCGCAAGCCUGAUGCAGCGACGCCGCGUGGGGGAUGACGGCCUUCGGGUUGUAAACUCCUUUCGCUAGGGACGAAGCGCAAGUGACGGUACCUGGAGAAGAAGCACCGGCUAACUACGUG